GUCUACGGCCAUACCACCCUGAACGCGCCCGAUCUCGUCUGAUCUCGGAAGCUAAGCAGGGUCGGGCCUGGUUAGUACUUGUAUGGGAGAACUUGCAGUUUUUAAUU
rnacentral:rRNA from 1 species